rfam:Candidatus Gracilibacteria bacterium CG1_02_38_174 cg_0.2_sub10_scaffold_1236_c, whole genome shotgun sequence.
UCUUUCGGGGGGACAUACGCCGAGGGAUCAAACCCUUAGAGGAAAGUCCGGACACUACUGAGAUACUAUAGCAGAUAACGUCUGCGGCUCCUGGAUAUAUCUAAAACCAGGAGUACGGAAAGUACCACAGAGACAAUACUAUUCUGCUUCGGCAGAAGAAAGGUGAAAAGUCCGCUCCAAGCGGAUAUAAUCAUUCUCCGGAAUGAUUAUGUGGCAAACCCUAUAGAGUGCAAGAGGAAUGGUACUCGGUUCAUCUAUGACGAUCUCGGUCGAUGGAUAGAGUAUACCUCGCUAGAGAGUACGGGCGACCGUACUACGAGAUAGAUGUAUGUCGAGACACAGAAUCCGGCUUACUACCUGAGAGAAGAG